rnacentral:rRNA from 1 species
GACGGAAGGUGCAAGAGUUACUCGGAAUCACUGGGCGUAAAGCGUCUGUAGGUGGAAGAAUCAGUCUGGAGUAAAAGGUGGAAGCUCAACUUCCAUUACGGUCCGGAAACUGUUCAUCUUGAGCAACUCAGAGGCACCUGGAAUGCUGUGAGUAGGGGUAAAAUCCGUUGAUACACAGUGGAACGCUAAAAGCGAGAGCAGGGUGCUGGGGGUUUGCUGACACUGAGAGUCGAACGCGUGGCGAGCGAACGAG